rnacentral:rRNA from 1 species
AUGGCGACGGAGCUGACGGCGGCGCAGCUGCGGGCGUACGACGGCACCGACGCGUCCAAGCCGAUCUACGUCGCCAUCCGCGGCAAGGUCUUCGACGUCUCGGCCGGGCGCGGCUUCUACGGGCCCGGCGGCGACUACGCGCUCUUCGCCGGCCGCGAGGCCGCCCGCGCGCUCGCCAAGAUGUCCAAGGACGCCGCCGACGUCUCCGGCGACCUCUCCGGCCUCUCCGACAAGGAGCUCGGCGUGCUCGCCGACUGGGAGUCCAAGUUCCAGGCCAAGUACCCCGUCGUCGCCCGCCUCGCCGCCUGA